rnacentral:rRNA from 1 species
CCUACGGGAGGCAGCAGUGAGGAAUAUUGGUCAAUGGGCGGGAGCCUGAACCAGCCAAGCCGCGUGAGGGAAGAAGGUACAGCGUAUCGUAAACCUCUUUUGUCAGGGAACAAAGGCGGGGACUAGUCCCCGGAUGAGGGUACCUGAAGAAAAAGCAUCGGCUAACUCCGUGCCAGCAGCCGCGGUAAUACGGAGGAUGCGAGCGUUAUCCGGAUUUAUUGGGUUUAAAGGGUGCGCAGGCGGCCUGUUAAGUCAGCGGGAAAAGCCCGGGGCUCCACCCCGGCGAGCCGUUGAAACUGGCGGGCUGGAGUUGGAGAGAAGUACGCGGAAUGCGCGGUGUAGCGGUGAAAUGCUUAGAUAUCGCGCAGAACCCCGAUUGCGAAGGCAGCGUACCGGCUCCACACUGACGCUGAGGCACGAAAGCGUGGGUAUCGAACAGGAUUAGAUACCCGAGUAGUC